rnacentral:tRNA from 2 species
GGAGAAAUACCCAAGAGGCCGAAGGGGCUCCCCUGCUAAGGGAGUAGUACGCGAGAAGCGUAGCGAGGGUUCAAAUCCCUCUUUCUCCGCCA